rnacentral:rRNA from 1 species
AACGAACGCUGGCGGCAGGCCUAACACAUGCAAGUCGAGCGCCCCGCAAGGGGAGCGGCGGACGGGUGAGUAACGCGUGGGAACGUGCCCUUUGCUACGGAAUAGCCCCGGGAAACUGGGAGUAAUACCGUAGACGCCCUACGGGGGAAAGAUUGAUCGGAAAAGGAUCGGCCCGCGUUGGAUUAGGUAGUUGGUGGGGUAAUGGCCUACCAGGACGACGAUCCAUAGCUGGUUUGAGAGGAUGAUCAGCCACACUGGGACUGAGACACGGCCCAGACUCCUACGGGAGGCAGCAGUGGGGAAUCUUAGUCAAUGGGCGCAAGCCUGAUCUAGCCAUGCCGCGUGAGCGAUGAAGGCCUUAGGGUCGUAAAGCUCUUUCGUGGGGGAAGAUAAUGACUGUACCCCAAGAAGAAGCCCCGGCUAACUCCGUGCCAGCCGCCGCGGUAACAC